rnacentral:rRNA from 1 species
UACGUAGGGGGCGAGCGUUGUCCGGAUUUAUUGGGCGUAAAGAGCGUGUAGGCGGUUCGGUAAGUCUGUCGUGAAAAUCCUGAGGCUCAACCUCGGGCGUGACGAUGGAUACUGCCGGGCUAGAGGGUGGUAGAGGCGAGUGGAAUUCCUGGUGUAGCGGUGAAAUGCGCAGAUAUCAGGAGGAACACCAAUUGCGAAGGCAGCUCGCUGGGACGUUACUGACGCUGAGACGCGAAAGCGUGGGGAGCAAACAGG